rnacentral:rRNA from 1 species
AACGAACGCUGGCGGCAUGCCUAACACAUGCAAGUCGAACGGAACCUUCGUGCUUAUUUGCGCACGGGGGGGUGACCCGUGGGAACCUGCCCUUAGGUUCGCAAUAACUCCCCGAAAGGGGUCCUAAGACCGGAGAAUGUAUUCCGACCAAAGAGUUAUCGCCUUUGGGUGGGCCCUCGAUGGAUUAGAUGGUUGGUAGGGUAAAAGCAUACCAAGGGGUCGUUGCAUAGCUGGUAUGAGAGGAGGAUCAACCACACUGGGACUGAGACACGGACCAGAAUCCUACGGGAGGGAGGAGUGGGGAAUACUGGACACUGGGGGAAAGCCUGAUCCAGCAAUGCCGGGUAAGUGAUGAAGGCCGUAGGGUUGUAAAGCUCUUUUAUACGGGAUGAUAAUGACGGUACCGGGAGAAUAAGCACCGGCUAACUACGUG